GACGAACGCUGGCGGCGUGCUUAACACAUGCAAGUCGAACGGAAAGGCCCUGCUUUUGUGGGGUGCUCGAGUGGCGAACGGGUGAGUAACACGUGAGUAACCUACCCUUGACUUUGGGAUAACUUCAGGAAACUGGGGCUAAUACCGGAUAGGAGCUCCUGCCGCAUGGUGGGGGUUGGAAAGUUUCGGCGGUUGGGGAUGGACUCGCGGCUUAUCAGCUUGUUGGUGGGGUAGUGGCUUACCAAGGCUUUGACGGGUAGCCGGCCUGAGAGGGUGACCGGCCACAUUGGGACUGAGAUACGGCCCAGACUCCUACGGGAGGCAGCAGUGGGAAAUAUUGCACAAUGGGCGGAAGCCUGAUGCAGCAACGCCGCGUGCGGGAUGACGGCCUUCGGGUUGUAAACCGAUUUCGCCUGUGACGAAGCGUGAGUGACGGUAAUGGGUAAAGAAGCACCGGCUAACUACGUG
rnacentral:rRNA from 1 species